GACGAACGCUGGCGGCGUGCUUAACACAUGCAAGUCGAACGGAAAGACCCUGCUUUUGUGGGGUGCUCGAGUGGCGAACGCGUGUGUAACACGUGUGUAACCUGCCCUUGACUUUGGGAUAACUUCACGAAACUGGGGCUAAUAUCGGAUAGGAUCUCCUGCUGCAUGGUGGGGGUUGGAAAGUUUCGGCGGUUGGGGAUGGACUGGCGGCUUAUCAGCUUGUUGGUGGGGUAGUGGCUGACCAAGGGUUUGACGGGUAGCCGGCCUGAGAGGGUGAACGGGGACAAUGCGACUGAGAGAGGGCGCAGACGGGAACGGGAGGCAACGGGCGGAAACCUUGCACAACGGGCCGGAGUGUGUGACGGCGACGCUCGGUGCGUGAAGACGGCCUGUGGGGUAAGAACAGCUGUCGCCUGAGACGAAGCGGUAGUGACGGUAAUGAAUAAAGAAGCACCGGCUAACUACGUG
rnacentral:rRNA from 1 species